UCUAACUUCUGAAGCGUGGAAAUAUGAAUAUAACUUUCAUUUUAAAUGCAUGAAAGGACAAGAACAUGACAACAAAAUACAAACUGUACUCAGGUCACAAACCAGUAUCUGCUGUUGCUAACACACUGCACAUGCAAAGAGCAGGCUCAUUUUGUUCCCAGGACCCGGAGAGGCUGAGGGAAAUCUCAAACAUUUGCAGAGUCAGGCUUGUAGGCUUCAUUUCUACCAAUAAAUGUUUUUAUGGUAGACUCACUGUAGCCACAACACUUACAUUUCUUUCUAUAGUGGGUUGUAAGGAACUAAAUUAUGUUGUGAAAAAAGUGACGGUACUUUCAGCUGCUCUCUUAUUUCCCAAGGGAUCAUUACAUUUUACACCAGAUGGCCUUCCCAGUGCAACCCUCCCAUUUGUGUGGGCCUGGGACUGGCGCUUGGUUACGCUAGCUUGUGACUCCUUAAGUCUGGGUUUACAUCUCCUCCCUCCUUCACAUGUAAGGGGAAUAUGCUAACCAAUACGCCAUGAAGCAUCUUCAAAAGUAUUUCUGCUAAUACAUGAAAUCCCAGGUAAAAGAGCCAGCUGUCAUCAUGCUCUAUCGGACUAUUUCUGCUAAAGUUUGCAGCAGUUUUCUCACAGUUAGUCAACGAGUAGAAAUGGGCCUAAAAAUAACAGAACAAAUAUGUGUGGAGAUCUGUGUGCACAAAGAUAACAGCACAGGUAAUGUGUUCCAUGAGGGUCAGUAAAUACUACACCACGUUAGCUCCAGGCUGGGUAUCCCACAGGGGGGAAUGUAAGGAGGGGUUAAUAAAAAUUUGUGUGCGUGUGUUUUGUCCGUUGCUGAUAAAGAAGUUCUACGCGCCGGCCAAAAGCCCCUCCUUCUGCGCUCUGGGUAAUGGAAAAAAUUAUGUUGGAAUUCCAGACUGCAAGCAAGUAUGCGCACUUUGACCCUGAGCUCUCUGCGGCUUAAAUUCACUUAUCUAAAAAUAGGCAAACCUGGAAAUAAUCAGCCUUUUUUUACAUGUCUCUAAAGGAGCAGGGAUUCGGCCUUGUAAUAAUGGAUUAACACUCAAUCGACAUGACGUUUUAUCUCCAGAUGUACUCUGAAAGCAGUCAUGCACACUGUGUCCAGGAAACAUCCUAACCUGAUGCUUGAACCACCUCAACUGGCUUUUUUCGAUGUGGAGAAGUAGUUCUACUCUGAUUGCCUUCAGAAUGAGCAAACUCCUCACCCCGUUUCUACAGAAGAGCUCAGAGGAAGCUCGUUGCCAUAGAUGAGGAUAUGAAUGUGAAGUACUGUGCGGAAUUCUUGAGCCGGUUGUGGCGGGAAGUCAUGGGGUCAGAGGCAGGGUACACCUACAACUCUAAAGUCUGACCUAAGCCCACUAUCUGCAUGCCUUUGGACAGCGGAAGGAAGCUGGAGUACAAGGAGAGAACCCACACAAACAGAGGGAGAACAUGCAAACUCCACACAAAAAGGCCCCGGCCUGAUGGUGCAUUUGAACUCAGGCCCUUCUUGCUGUGAGGUAACAGAGCUAACCACGGCACCACCGAGCUGAUUUUCCUGUGGUUUGAAAUCUCGUGUGAUCUUGUGAAUUUCACGUGUCCAAGCAGCUAACCACUCUCACUAGAUUUUAUCACGUCAUCUCAAUAAGAAUAAAUUAAGUUGUUGAAUUUCAUGCAGAUUGUACAUGAUUUAAUUAAUUUAAUUAAGUAGACUCUUGUAAAUGUAAUAAUGUCACGGACCCGGCUCUGGAGGACUCGGGGGUCCGUGAGCAGGAUGGACCGUUGUUAUCUUUAUUAUUAGUAGUAGUAGUAUUGUGGUUGUUGUUAUUUGGGGAUGUCUUUCUGCGCUAUGCUGUGUUGUUCUGUGUUCCACUUAUUAUAUGUAUAGGCAGGGUGUGGGUGUGUACAUGUGUGUCUGCGGGUGUGGCUGGAGGAUGGAGAACAGCCACAUACAGGCCUGAUGGGUGUGGCCCUGCAGGAGGACAGGCCACACCUGAAGUUCCUGCCACACACCUGUUGGUGAUCAGGGCUCGUCGGGGGAGCUACUUAGGAGAAUGUUGGAGCUCCCACCGGCGCGGGAUCAUUGAGUUAUCAUCCCAAGUUAGUGUGUGAGGAGAAGUGGACCUGAAAGGCAGCACGCACGGGGUGUGCGGAAACACGACAGCGGGGAGCACACGCACGGGAGUCAAGGGAGCGACGGGGAGUUAUUGUGUUUACAGCCUUCAUUGUAAAUAAAGUGCACUGUUUGCAUC